rnacentral:rRNA from 1 species
ACUGGGCGUAAGCGCGCGCAGGCGGCUUUGCAGAUCGAUGUGAAACCCGGGCUCACCUGGGAAUUGCCUUGGUGACUGCACCGCUAGAGUGCGGCAGAGGUGGGUGGAAUUCCGCGUGUAGCGGUGAAAUGCGUAGAUAUGCGGAGGAACACCGAUGGCGAAGGCGGCCCCCUGGGCUGACACUGACGCUGAUGCGCGAAAGCGUGGGGAGCAAACAGGAUUAGAUACCCUGGUAGUCCACGCCCUAAACGAUGACAACUAGCUGUCGGGGAAUCAUUUCCUUAGGAAGGCACCUCUCACGCGUUGUUGUACUCGCCCGGGGAGAACCGGCGCCAAAUGUUA